GGAUAACACGUUUUGCUAUUUCCGGCUAAUAACACAAUGACAGGUAUGAUAACUUUUCCAUAUGCCAUUGUGUUAUUGGUCGGAGAUAGCAAAACAGUACUAUCC
rfam:Prunus persica cultivar Lovell chromosome G4, whole genome shotgun sequence.